rnacentral:tRNA from 1 species
GCCGAAGUAGCUCAGUGGUAGAGCAACUGAUUCGUAAUCAGUAGGUCCGGAGUUCGAAUCUCCGCUUCGGCACCA